UACAGAGGGUGCGAGCGUGUUCGGAAUUAUUGGGCGUAAAGGGCGCGUAGGCGGUGCGGUAAGUCACCUGUGAAAUCUCCUGGCUCAACUGGGAGCUUGCAGGCGAAACUGCCGUGCUGGAGUGUGGGAGAGGUGCGUGGAAUUCCUGGUGUAGCGGUGAAAUGCGUAGAUAUCAGGAGGAACACCUGUGGCGAAAGCGGGCGCACUGGACCACAACUGACGCUGAGGCGCGAAAGCUAGGGG
rnacentral:rRNA from 1 species